rnacentral:lncRNA from 1 species
AUGAAAAAGAAAAACAAGAAAGGCAAGAAGGAGCCUGCCAAGGAUGACUCAUCAGGGAAGAAGAGUCAGCUUGGAGGAAAACAGUCUGCAAGUGCCCUACGCUCAGAGACAAAACUGGACCAGCCGGUGAAAGAUGGGAGAAAAAUGUCCUCCUGUGCUGACGGCAAGGAGUAUAAAGACUCUCCCACAGAGGGCACUAGGGAACCAGAGGAGGGACCCAAGAAGAAGAAGCCAAAAGAAGGCAAGGCAGGGGGUCAGGAUGAGUCUCCAUUACCAAGCGAGGACCCAGAGAGAGAGCUGGUAUGUUACCCUCAUAAAUUCCAAGUGAAGCAUAAGAACGCACAGCCAUUACGUGACAAACAUAUUUUGAAUAUGAACUAGUUCCUUUCCUCCUUUUACGAUUGUACCUCAUAUUGUUUAAACAAUAGCUGACACCCAGAUGAAUAAAACAUAUUUAAUAGCUGUUUAACUGGCCUGUAAUUGAAACUCCUCUACUCCUUCUGUUCCCUGUAGUCUAGUGAGGGUGACCGACUGCUGCUGUCUCGGUUCAGGCUCUACGAGCAGAGCCAGCCCCAGCUUCUCCACAUUCUACAGUUCUGGGACCGAGCCCAGGGUCAACUCCUCCAGCCCCUGUUCUCUGAAGACAACAUCCAGGAGCCAGAGGAAAUAGUCCCUGAGAGACAGGCCCCCUCUGGCAAGAAGACUAAGAAAGAGCGGGAGAAGGAGAAGGUGGAGAAGGAGAAGGAGCGCUUGGAGAAGGAGAAGUUGAAGGCAGAUGCCACAGAUGUGAAGAUGGUGUCUCCAGCCCCUAGCCAGGCCCUUCUAGCAGUGGAGGGGUCUGAGGGAGGGGACAGGGAGGCUGCACCUGAGACUGUGCCCCACAUCCUCCUUUCUGUUACUGGGAGGGACUAUCUUAGCGGAAUAGAGAUCCUGAAGAGCAACAAACUGCCCCCUCUUGAAGAGGUAUAGUAGAUACUUGCAGUAAUACUCUCCCUUCAUUUGAUAUUUUAUCCCUAUGACGAUCUUUAAUAAAAAAGCUUUACAUGAUGUCAACUUACUCUGUUCCUCAGGUGUUGGAUGGUUUAGGGCUGGGACACAAGGGCCCUCCUAUCCCCCCCUCCACUAUCUUCUCUGUCAUCCCCUACCCUAAGAAGAGGCCUGUGCCCAGUGCACAGCAGAUCACUAGUUGCUUCACCUUCAUGGUGCCCUCAGUUCCAGAGGAUCCAACAGGGGAGAAGAAGGAUACAGACAUGGACGCUGAAGCGCAAGGCUCAGUCAAGGUAUAAUUGGUCCUCCAUGGAAAAUAGCAUAACCUCACACAUCAAACCACUAUUGCCACCAUAUUCACUCGUUUAUUUU